UAGGGAAUUUUCGUCAAUGGGGGAACCCUGAACGAGCAAUGCCGCGUGUGUGAAGAAGGUCUUCGGAUCGUAAAGCGCUGUUGUAAGUGAAGAAUGCCACAUAGAGGAAAUGCUAUGUGGGUGACGGUAGCUUACCAGAAAGCCACGGCUAACUACGUGCCAGCAGCCGCGGUAAUACGUAGGUGGCAAGCGUUAUCCGGAAUCAUUGGGCGUAAAGGGUGCGUAGGUGGCACGAUAAGUCUGAAGUAAAAGGCAACAGCUCAACUGUUGUAUGCUUUGGAAACUGUCGAGCUAGAGUGUAGAAGAGGGCGAUGGAAUUCCAUGUGUAGCGGUAAAAUGCGUAGAUAUAUGGAGGAACACCAGUGGCGAAGGCGGUCGCCUGGUCUGUAACUGACACUGAUGCACGAAAGCGUGGGGAGCAAAUAGGAUUAGAUACC
rnacentral:rRNA from 1 species